GAUGAACGCUGGCGGCGUGCCUAAUACAUGCAAGUCGAGCGAACGGACGAGAAGCUUGCUUCUCUGAUGUUAGCGGCGGACGGGUGAGUAACACGUGGAUAACCUACCUAUAAGACUGGGAUAACUUCGGGAAACCGUAGCUAAUACCGGAUAAUAUUUUGAACCGCAUGGUUCAAAAGUGAAAGACGGUCUUGCUGUCACUUAUAGAUGGAUCCGCGCUGCAUUAGCUAGUUGGUAAGGUAACGGCUUACCAAGGCAACGAUGCAUAGCCGACCUGAGAGGGUGAUCGGCCACACUGGAACUGAGACACGGUCCAGACUCCUACGGGAGGCAGCAGUAGGGAAUCUUCCGCAAUGGGCGAAAGCCUGACGGAGCAACGCCGCGUGAGUGAUGAAGGUCUUCGGAUCGUAAAACUCUGUUAUUAGGGAAGAACAUAUGUGUAAGUAACUGUGCACAUCUUGACGGUACCUAAUCAGAAAGCCACGGCUAACUACGUGCCAGCAGCCGCGGUAAUACGUAGGUGGCAAGCGUUAUCCGGAAUUAUUGGGCGUAAAGCGCGCGUAGCGGUUUUUUAGUCUGAUGUGAAAGCCCACGGCUCAACCGUGGAGGGUCAUUGGAAACUGGAAAACUUGAGUGCAGAAGAGGAAAGCGGAAUUCCAUGUGUAGCGGUGAAAUGCGCAGAGAUAUGGAGGAACACCAGUGGCGAAGGCGACUUUCUGGUCUGUAACUGACGCUGAUGUGCGAAAGCGUGGGGAUCAAACAGGAUUAGAUACCCUGGUAGUCCACGCCGUAAACGAUGAGUGCUAAGUGUUAGGGGGUUUCCGCCCCUUAGUGCUGCAGCUAACGCAUUAAGCACUCCGCCUGGGGAGUACGACCGCAAGGUUGAAACUCAAAGGAAUUGACGGGGACCCGCACAAGCGGUGGAGCAUGUGGUUUAAUUCGAAGCAACGCGAAGAACCUUACCAAAUCUUGACAUCCUUUGACAACUCUAGAGAUAGAGCCUUCCCCUUCGGGGGACAAAGUGACAGGUGGUGCAUGGUUGUCGUCAGCUCGUGUCGUGAGAUGUUGGGUUAAGUCCCGCAACGAGCGCAACCCUUAAGCUUAGUUGCCAUCAUUAAGUUGGGCACUCUAAGUUGACUGCCGGUGACAAACCGGAGGAAGGUGGGGAUGACGUCAAAUCAUCAUGCCCCUUAUGAUUUGGGCUACACACGUGCUACAAUGGACAAUACAAAGGGCAGCGAAACCGCGAGGUCAAGCAAAUCCCAUAAAGUUGUUCUCAGUUCGGAUUGUAGUCUGCAACUCGACUACAUGAAGCUGGAAUCGCUAGUAAUCGUAGAUCAGCAUGCUACGGUGAAUACGUUCCCGGGUCU
rnacentral:rRNA from 1 species